rnacentral:tRNA from 1 species
GCCGGGAUGGCGAAAUAGGCAUACGCGAAUUCCUCAAAAGAAUUUGUCCGAAAGGGCGUGCGGGUUCGAGUCCCGCUCCCGGCACCA